CUCACAGCCACACAUAUAACUAUCAGGAAUAGAGUUACUCUUACAAACAAACCUAAUGUAAACAAUAAAGGUACACAUACCAGUCCUUAGAGUGACCUGGUUAGUGCCUGAGACAGAUAUAUGAAAUGUCUGCAAGCAGACAGAAUAAACUAUAGACAGGCCAAGGAUUAUUGAAAUACACAGAAUCAAUAGCCAGGCCAAGUUCAGGAUAACAGAG